rnacentral:rRNA from 1 species
AAUGAACGCUGGCGGCGCGCCUAAUACAUGCAAGUCGAGCGAGAAGACGUAGCAAUACGUUUGUAAAGCGGCGAACGGGUGAGGAAUACAUGGGUAACCUACCCUAGAGUGGGGAAUAACUAGCCGAAAGGUUAGCUAAUACCGCGUACGCUCCUUGGACUUCGGUUCAGGGAGGAAAGCGAUACCGAGGGUAUCGCGCUCUUGGAUGGGCUCAUGUCCUAUCAGCUUGUUGGGAGGUAACGGCUCACCAAGGCUUCGACGGGUAGCUGGUCUGAGAGGACGAUCAGCCACACUGGCACUGCGACACGGGCCAGACUCCUACGGGAGGCAGCAGUAAGGAAUAUUGCGCAAUGGGCGAAAGCCUGACGCAGCGACGCCGC